CGGCGGACGGGUGAGUAACGCGUGGGUAACCUGCCUCAUACAGGGGGAUAACAGUUGGAAACGGCUGCUAAUACCGCAUAAGCGCACAGUACCGCAUGGUACCGUGUGAAAAACUCCGGUGGUAUGAGAUGGACCCGCGUCUGAUUAGCUAGUUGGUGAGGUAACGGCCCACCAAGGCGACGAUUGGUAGCCGGACUGAGAGGUUGAACGGCCACAUUGGGACUGAGACACGGCCCAGACUCCUACGGGAGGCAGCAUG
rnacentral:rRNA from 1 species